AAGCUCUUGACGGACAUCGAGGGACGGAGCACGGUAGGCCGCCAUGUUAGGGUUGGCUACGAGCAUCUCCUCCGUCAAGCACAUGUGCCGUUUGUUGAUCAUGGACUUUUCACACAUUCGAGCAAAUUUGUGUUUGAGAUCGGUCAUAUGGUUGCUAUUUGUGACGUUGAAGUAGUAGUCAGGGAAGGUGCUCUGCUGCACAAGGUUGGGUGGUGCGGCAACGCCAAUAGCGAGUACGGUGGCCGUGCUGGAUGAUCGGGCUGAGCAAGGAAGCACAUCACCUACAGAACCCAUGGGUUUGGUUGGAUGAGAG
rnacentral:misc_RNA from 1 species